rnacentral:tRNA from 1 species
GAAAUUUAAAAUAUUAAACUUCUAAUUUAAUUAAUAGUGAAUAAAUCAUUAAAAUUUCU